rnacentral:rRNA from 1 species
AUUGAACGCUGGCGGCAGGCCUAACACAUGCAAGUCGAGCGGAUGAUGGGAGCUUGCUCCUGGAUUCAGCGGCGGACAGGUGAGUAAUGCCUAGGAAUCUGCCUGGUAGUGGGGGACAACGUUUCGAAAGGAACGCUAAUACCGCAUACGUCCUACGGGAGAAAGCAGGGGACCUUCGGGCCUUGCGCUAUCAGAUGAGCCUAGGUCGGAUUAGCUUGUUGGUGAGGUAAUGGCUCACCAAGGCGCCGAUCCGUAACUGGUCUGAGAGGAUGAUCAGUCACACGGGAACUGAGACACGGUCCAGACGCCUACGGGAGGCAGCAGUGGGGAAUAUUGGACAAUGGGCGAAAGCCUGAUCCAGCCAUGCAGCGUGUGUGAAGAAGGUCUUCGGAUUGUAAAGCACUUUAAGUUGGGAGGAAGGGUUGUAGAUUAAUACUCUGCAAUUUUGACGUUACCGACAGAAUAAGCACCGGCUAACUCUGUGCCAGCCGCCGCGGUAAUAC